rnacentral:rRNA from 1 species
GAUGAACGCUGGCGGCGUGCCUAAUACAUGCAAGUCGAGCGAACAGACGAGGAGCUUGCUCCUCUGACGUUAGCGGCGGACGGGUGAGUAACACGUGGAUAACCUACCUAUAAGACUGGGAUAACUUCGGGAAACCGGAGCUAAUACCGGAUAAUAUAUUGAACCGCAUGGUUCAAUAGUUAAAGAAGGUUUUGCUGUCACUUAUAGAUGGAUCCGCGCCGCAUUAGCUAGUUGGUAAGGUAACGGCUUACCAAGGCAACGAUGCGUAGCCGACCUGAGAGGGUGAUCGGCCACACUGGAACUGAGACACGGUCCAGACUCCUACGGGAGGCAGCAGUAGGGAAUCUUCCGCAAUGGGCGAAAGCUUGACGGAGCAACGCCGCGUGAGUGAUGAAGGUCUUCGGAUCGUAAAACUCUGUUAUUAGGGAAGAACAAAUGUGUAAGUAACUAUGCACGUCUUGACGGUACCUAAUCAGAAAGCCACGGCUAACUACGUG